rnacentral:rRNA from 1 species
AUGGGAAUUAAUAUUUUAACCAUUUUUUACCAGGCAGAACCAUAUUUUGCUCCUAUAAAAGUCUAUAUUACCCCAGAAACUCUUAAAGAAGAAAGUAGAACAAAAACAACCCAAAGGACCAUGAAAUAAGCCGAUGUUGCCCAAGCCCACAGCCUAGGGCCCCCAAGCUCAGCACCAAAUACUAUGCGGCGGAGAACCAAAACUGUGAUACAACCAAAAGAUGUUGCGAAGAAGACCAGAAGUGAGAAGCUGAGACCAGCAGCAUUGUCUAUGUACAGUGGUUCCUGGUAG